AGCAAUACCGCACUGAUACGGGUAUGGUCCGACACCUUUCGAAGGUUAAUAAAGGAUCUCCAUACCCUACUCCGACUCAAUACGUCCACGGCGUACAGAACCGUAACAUAUCUCUCCAAUAAUCUGAGCAUGCGUACGUAGGGAAACCCAACCCCUUGGAAGGAUGGGUUCUAUGGCUAAAUAGAGCGAG
rnacentral:ribozyme from 1 species